GAAAUAAUCAAGCUCGGAGCUGUGACUGCACCUGAAAACACUUGGAUCAGAAGAGUUGGAGAGCACUGAGCCACCUUCAUUUGGUCUGCCGGUAUGCAAUGAAUGGUCUGUGAGAACCACAUGACACAGCAGGACAUGUGGUCCCCAGGCCCACGACAAGUCCAAGCAGCACCCACAAAGUUGGAUUGGACCCCUUUUCCUACAUUCAAGGUCUAAUGUGGGGACACGUACCACAUCUGCAACUUUGCUGGAACCUAAAGAGAGGCUAAACCUAACGCAGCCCUACUCAUCUUCUCUUUCAUUUAACUACCAAAACUGAAGAAUAUAGCAAAAGAAGGUCUCCUUUAAGAAUUGCCCUUGCCAGUCAUCUGUGGCCUCCUGUUCUGGCUCUUCUUGUUAGAAACUUUCUGGACAGAGGAAUCAUAGGCCAACAAAUACCAGGAGGUAUUCUCUUGACAUGAUUCCUGGGCAUGCUCUACCAACUUACUCCAAAUACUCACUGGGCCAAUGGGGCUCAGCUUCUGAGUCCUAAUUCUGUAAAAUUAGCAAUGCCAAAUUUCUGCUUGUGUCCUAUUCGUUGCUGUGACUGUCAAUUUUUGUGGAAUAACUACUCCUCAAUGUCUAAAUCCAUCAUUUCCUCUGCUGUAAGUAACUAGAAAGGAGAAGAACCUAAAACAAAUACAGCAAGGCAGUUUGUUUUGACCAAAUUGGCAAUUAAUUAAUUCCAUGUGCUGGAAGUUGCAACCAACAUCUGCAGCAAGAGCAGCAUCUUCUGGAUGAACAGAAGAAAUGAAAAUAAAAGGAUGGAGAAAGGGUCCUACAUCUUAGUGCAUAGGUUUCAUGGCUGUGUAUCCAGGGACUGAUGUUUAUUCCCAGGUGUGUGUGAGCAACUCUCAGAGAGUAAAAGCUAACCAGCACCUGUGUACAGAACAGGAGGAGGAAGGGUUUAAUUACAUGUGUCUCAAAUGGGAGAUGAAGAAGGGAAUCUCAGCACCUGCUCGAUUCAGAAAGAGUGGGACAAAGAGCAACUAACCUCCUUCUGUUCAUGUAGUAUGCCUUUCAAGAUAACUACAUUUCUAACAGGAGUUCCUUUGAAUGUGAAAGAAUCCCCAGGAGAGGAUUCUUUUCCCAUAGUAUGUAUGCAUGAGGGUGACAUUGAACUAGAAUUGAGGAUGGAGGCUGAAAAGGCAAGGCAAGAAUAUUGAAGAGCAGCUGUGUCAAAACUGGAAUGUGGCUAACUAUGGGACUACCGUACCCCCUCCCACU